CCUACGGGAGGCAGCAGUGGGGAAUAUUGGGCAAUGGGCGCAAGCCUGACCCAGCAACGCCGCGUGAAGGAAGAAGGCUUUCGGGUUGUAAACUUCUUUUGUCAGGGACGAAGCAAGUGACGGUACCUGACGAAUAAGCCACGGCUAACUACGUGCCAGCAGCCGCGGUAAUACGGAGGUGGCAAGCGUUAUCCGGAUUUACUGGGGGUAAAGGGCGUGUAGGCGGGGAAGCAAGUCAGAUGUGAAAACCACGGGCUCAACCUGUGGCCUGCAUUUGAAACUGUUUUUCUUGAGUGCUGGAGAGGCAAUCGGAAUUCCGUGUGGAGCGGUGAAAUGCGUAGAUAUACGGAGGAACACCAGUGGCGAAGGCGGAUUGCUGGACAGUAACUGACGCUGAGGCGCGAAAGCGUGGGGAGCAAACAGGAUUAGAUACCCGAGUAGUC
rnacentral:rRNA from 1 species